rnacentral:lncRNA from 1 species
AGUGGAGGUUGGAUUCAGAGGACAUGGGGAUCAGUGUGGGCUGUGCUGGUCAAGGAGGGCUUCCAGGGAGAGGCAACUGAGGAUUCACUGCAAUUGUUCCUUGAGAAGAUGAGGAUCAGGUCGGGAAUUGGAAACAUCUGAGGGCUCAAUUCAACCUGGCUUCUAAAACGAACAUGGUGAACAUAGAUCAACUACUGAACUUCUUUUAACCUCUGGCAUCCUAUCUGUGAAUUGUGGGGAGGAAACAGGGUCCACCCGCUGCUGCACAAGAGGGGUGUGUGCAGACCGUCACCUUGUGUCUGCUGUAGCAGGAGACCCCUGGCCAUGCGGGACUGAACCCAUGAUUGCAGCUGAUCUUACUCUGUCUCUUCUCUGUGUGAGUAAAGUGUUGUUCCAUCU